ACUUCGCGAAACAAAACCUAAAACUCUUUUCUUCAAAUCCCUAAACUCUCUUCUCCAAAAAUCGAUUACCAGCUCUCUUGGACGACCUUACUAGACUCGUGCCAUCUCUGGUUCAAAUCUCUGUUUCAGCUCUCUUGCACGACCUCGCACCCAUACCAGCUCUCUCUAAGACCUCUCAACCGCGAAGCAUCUCACUCCUCAAUGAUUGUGCAACUUCAAUUCAUCUCUUGUGGCAAUUGCAAAUCCACGUCAGCUUUGGACAUCUCUGGUCAACUCCCCAUGUAAUCAGUUUGACUGACCUGAUUUGGUGAAGUCUUGCCCGAGUGAUGAAAUUGUAACAUAUUUGAACUUUGGGUGACUGAGUUGAAACAUUUUGAAAUUGAGGGAGUGAGUUGGAAGAAGCAUCAUCUUUCAGUGAUCAAAGUUCAAUUAACGACGUGAUGGGCGACGACAAUGGUUCGUCAAAGGCCUUGCUUGAUCUUCCUAAGAGGCUAAAGAUUCAGACCGGAGGGCUUCGAAAUGGCGGGUGAUGGGGGCCUGGAUAGAGAAGAAGUGGGCGUCGAUAUUGGACCAGGAGAGGGUGGAGAAUGAAGAAGAAGAGAGGAGUGAGAUUGCAAGUAUUGGUCGAAGAUAGAAACGACAUCGUCUGGAUCUUUCCGACACGCACCGUAUAAUACCAAGGCCCAUUAUAGGAAAUCAAUUGUGCAAACCGAAUUAAUUAUUUUUCCUCCUAAUUUACGUUAAAAGUUGUCGAAUUCUCCAAACAGAAAUCGGAUUAGUUUCUCUAUAUAAAGAAGCGUUUGAUGAUCAACUCCAACAAAGAGAAAGAAAACUGAACAGAAUUUUGGCGGAAAAUUCCAAGAAGUUUUCCUAGAAAGUUUUUGUAAGUAAAAUACUUUGACAGUGAACAAUGGCAUCAACUUCUGCUACAAUUUUGUGGUGCAAUCACUGUAGUACAUACUGCAGAACUACAUGUAGUGGUAAAUUCAUGUGUUGUCCUACAUGUGGAAAAGUUCUUGGAGAACGCAUAGCAAAAAAAGCUAGAGAGCUUAAGGGGAAAAGAUGGACUAAAACGAAAAGCAUCAAACACAAUAAAAAACGAAUAAACCUGUUUAGGUUUCUCAGUUUAUGUUGACUUAAAUUCUGAUUAUGUUUUCUUUAGUUUUAUAUUUCCUUAGUUUUUAUUUUUGAUUUUUUGCUUUAUUCCCUUAUACGGGGGCUUUGUAUUUUGUAAUAUCUCGAAUCAAUAUUAUCAACCUUUUA